rnacentral:rRNA from 1 species
ACCUUACCGGAUUCUUCGGAUGAAAGUUUGGUGACUGAGUGGCGAACGGGUGAGUAACGCGUGGGUAACCUGCCCUGUACAGGGGGAUAACAGCUGGAAACGGCUGCUAAUACCGCAUAAGCGCACGAGGAGACAUCUCCUUGUGUGAAAAACUCCGGUGGUACAGGAUGGGCCCGCGUCUGAUUAGCUGGUUGGCAGGGUAACGGCCUACCAAGGCAACGAUCAGUAGCCGGUCUGAGAGGAUGAACGGCCACAUUGGAACUGAGACACGGUCCAAACUCCUACGGGAGGCAGCAGUGGGGAAUAUUGCACAAUGGGGGAAACCCUGAUGCAGCAACGCCGCGUGAGUGAAGAAGUAUUUCGGUAUGUAAAGCUCUAUCAGCAGGGAAGAUAAUGACGGUACCUGACUAAGAAGCUCCGGCUAAAUACGUGCCAGCAGCCGCGGUAAUACGUAUGGAGCAAGCGUUAUCCGGAUUUACUGGGUGUAAAGGGUGCGUAGGUGGCAGUGCAAGUCAGAUGUGAAAGGCCGGGGCUCAACCCCGGAGCUGCAUUUGAAACUGCUCGGCUAGAGUACAGGAGAGGCAGGCGGAAUUCCUAGUGUAGCGGUGAAAUGCGUAGAUAUUAGGAGGAACACCAGUGGCGAAGGCGGCCUGCUGGACUGUUACUGACACUGAGGCACGAAAGCGUGGGGAGCAAACAGAAUUAGAUACCCUGGUAGUCCACGCCGUAAACGAUGAAUACUAGGUGUCGGGGCCGUAUAGGCUCCGGUGCCGCCGCUAACGCAGUAAGUAUUCCACCUGGGGAGUACGUUCGCAAGAAUGAAACUCAAAGGAAUUGACGGGG